AUUUUCUUGGGAGGCCUGAAAUGAAUAUUAAUCCCAUUUCAGUGCAGCCUUGGUUUUAAGAUUAUGUUUACCCUUUGUCUCACUGUACUAUUCUGCAGUUACGAUUCAGUUUCACUGCACAAAUUCUUCCCUCUUACCGUCCGCAGAACUCCAUCCCUACCCAUAAGCAGCUGCAUGAGCAAGGCAUAGGCAGAGUCUGCACUGAAUGCAGUGAAUCUUAUGCGUUCCUAAGAGAAACACUACGGAAAGAAUGCCUUUCUGCCACCUGCUCGUUCCCAACAAAGAAGAUGCAUUAUCCUCACAAAUCCCAGUGCUCCUCAAGAGCCAUCUCAUGUGGGAGAAGGUGAGCAGGUUAAAGAACACAAAGGAAAACCUGUGUUGCUGAGAAACAGGGACAGACAGUGACCGCUUGUUGGAAUAAUAUCAGAUAAGUAUUUUGAGAUCCCAAACGUAACAGAAAUAGCUUUUAUUAUUGUUACUGUUAUUAUGUUAAGGAAGCUACCGUGAAAUUUGUGGGUUUUCUUUUGUAAAAGAAAUGUUAGUUCUAAGUAGUGACUGCUGUGAAAAGACUUUUGCUUUGUUAUCUCCAAAAGGAAUUACUUGCAAAAUUAUCAUCAACACUGGGGGGCUGCAUAACAAUGUUUCCUGAAGAUCUAUGAAGUUGUCUCAUUGAGAAUGCUCAGACUUAGCAAAAUACACCAUCUAGUGACAAAAAUAUGAAAUUUUCUCACAGUCACUCAAAAACAGUUAAGAGAAAGACUGCAUCAGAUACUGCAGUCCUGGAGCACACAAUCUCACAAGCUUGCCAUGUUACUUUGUACAGUUGUCCAACACCUUAAUUUGCCUUCUGUUCUUCUCUAGAAAUACAGUAAUACACCAAUUUGUUGAAUACUUCCCACAAUUUACACAUCUUUAUGUUACUACACAGACAGCUUGUUUUUCCUCCCACGAGGUUAGCUAAUAUGGUGUUCAAAUAUAUGAGAUCUGUCCUGUAGGCAACUCAUAUGAAGAAGUAAAAAGAUAUUUGUAACACUUUCCAUUUUAGUAUAACAGUGUGCUUCACUGAUGCUGUUACCUUCUGGGCAGAGUCCAAGAGCUUCAGAGGUAGUGAACUCAUUAACAAAGAAGCAGUCAUGAAGUUCAAUCACAUCAACAUUGGCAGGUUUUAGGCUGCAGGAUGAGCUGGGCCAGGCCACGUAUGGGCUGCAGGCUUUGCCCCUAUAUGGCAUGGCAGAGCACACUGAAGAGCACUGGGAGUGCUCUAAUAGAUGCUGGAGUACACUGGGUGUUCCUGGAAGGCCUCUAGGGCACCUUAGAGCUCUCUUGAGGGGC
ensembl:lncRNA